AGAACGAACGCUGGCGGCAUGCCUAACACAUGCAAGUCGAACGAGACCUUCGGGUCUAGUGGCGCACGGGUGCGUAACGCGUGGGAAUCUGCCCUUCGGUUCGGAAUAACAGUUAGAAAUGACUGCUAACACCGGAUAAUGACGUAAGUCCAAAGAUUUAUCGCCGAAGGAUGAGCCCGCGUAGGAUUAGCUUGUUGGUGAGGUAAAGGCUCACCAAGGCGACGAUCCUUAGCUGGUCUGAGAGGAUGAUCAGCCACACUGGGACUGAGACACGGCCCAGACUCCUACGGGAGGCAGCAGUGGGGAAUAUUGGACAAUGGGCGAAAGCCUGAUCCAGCAAUGCCGCGUGAGUGAUGAAGGCCUUAGGGUUGUAAAGCUCUUUUACCCGGGAAGAUAAUGACUGUACCGGGAGAAUAAGCUCCGGCUAACUCCGUGCCAGCAGCCGC
rnacentral:rRNA from 1 species